rnacentral:rRNA from 1 species
AUUGAACGCUGGCGGCAGGCCUAACACAUGCAAGUCGAGCGAGCGGCGGACGGGUGAGUAAUGUCUGGGGAUCUGCCUGAUGGAGGGGGAUAACUACUGGAAACGGUAGCUAAUACCGCAUACCAUCAGAUGACCCCAUAUGGGAGUAGAUUGGAUGGGAGGGAACGGCUCACCCAGGCGACGAUCCCUAGCUGGUCUGAGAGGAUGACCAGCCACACUGUAACUGAGACACGGCCCAGACUCCUACGGUAGGCAGCAGUGGGGAAUAUUGCACAAUGGGCGCAAGCCUGAUUCAGCCAUGCCGCGUGUAUGAAGAAGGCCUUCGGGUUGUAAAGUACUUUCAGUCGGGAGGCGUUACCGGCAGAAGAAGCACCGGCUAACUCCGUGCCAGCCGCCGCGGUAAUAC